UGACCGCUCUUAUGGCCUAAGUGGUUUGACUGUCUGCCUCAGAUGCGGGAGGUCACGGGUUCGAACCCCGGCUAAGUUAA